CAGAGUUUGGGCACCCCUGCUUUAGAUGUAAUGUGAUAAACUACUUUAAUAUGCAGUGGUGGUCAAGUGAUGGGGCGACAGAACACUUUCAUUCACCUCUUAAAAUGUUUGGUGUUUGAAUGUUAACCCAUGCGAAACCAGGGGUAAUGUACUGUAGGAGGUCAUUUUGUUCCAUGUUUCACUGCUGCUCGGUUAAUAAUAUUCAGUGGAUGAAUAUGGCUCCAUAGGCUAUCUGACUGGCAUAGCCUAUGUGACCUGUUUUAAUAACUGCAGGUCUGUUUGAAAAUAUCGCCAAUUUUGAAUGCUAAACAGGGCGAAUGUUUCCACAGCUGUAGAUGGCAUGGAUAUUUACUGAGACUGUCCUCUCCUACAAUGUGUUCCGGUUUGAUCUGUUCUGUAGAAGAAAUAUGCAAAUGAGCAUCAAGGCCACACUGCAAACCAGCUCCAACAGACGUCUUCCUGAGAUAAGCACAAUCUCUCAGAUCAUCCCAGAAUGAGUGUGUGUGCCAGGGUGUUUGCAUGUUAUGUGGGCUUCACAACUGUUGCUUUAUUUAAGCACAAGUUCAUUGGUAACCACACAUUGGUGUAGCUGUCUGAUAACAUCACAGUUUGGUGCCAUCCUACAUCAGACAUGCAAACACUAAAGCCACCAUCAUUCUGCAACAUAUUCUUCCACUAUUGCUACUUUGACACAAGAAGAAUAUUUUUUAAUUUAUUAAUAAGAAUACAUACAUUUAACACACAAGGGGAAAAUAACUUGAUGAAGGACAUUCACAUUCUAUAUCUGUGGAAUUUUUGUGGCAUGCGGAUAAAAAUAGAUGUGUUUUCAUUAAAGAGUAGAAGGGCAAUGCAAAUACUUUUCUUGGAUCUGUAAUUAAGCUGGUGAUCAUACCCAGUUC